UUAAACAGUUUCAAAAGCCGGCUAUACAGUUUCUUGAGCAUUAGAUCGAACAAUUUCUGACAAUAUGAGAAACUGGAGAAAAUCAUCAACUUUGACGGAUGGACCAAUAUUAGACGGAGAAAUGAUGUUCCCGCUUGUUGAAGGCCCGUUCUGCCACCAGAAUCAUGAAGGCACAUAUGUACCUAUCUAGUCGAACAGAUGCACAUAUGUGCUCUACGCUUGCAAGGACGAAAAAUUAUACCUUUUGAUUCUUAAUCGGAUGCACAGCACUGAAAAAAGCUGCUGCAAAAAAAACUGAGCCAGCGGAACAACGCUUAACUGUUUGGAGGAUUUGACGUGUGCAAGUGCGUGCAUCUUCAGAGAAUGUUGGAAAGGCCACAAAGGGCCCAUGAAGGAACAGGGCAGACCUGGGCACAACGAGAUAGCGAAAUCCUCGCAGAUUAGGUUAAGAGAACUGCGGGCUUAAUGACCUGGUGGUUCCUACAGCCAGGACUAAUGCGAAUGAAUUUAAA